CCCUUAGAUGUUCUGGGCCGCACACGCGCUACACUGGCAGGUUCAUCGAGCUUCAUGCCCUGAUCUGAGAAGAACGGGAAAUCUUUGAACACCUGCCGUGCUUGGGAUAGAUGUUUGCAAUUAUUCAUCUUCAACGAGGAUUGCCUUGUAAGCGCACGUCAUCAGCGUGCAUUGAAUACGACCCUGUAUUCUGUACACACCGCCCGUCGCUCCUACCGAUUGAAGUUUUCGGUGAAUUUACUGGAGAUCCCUUUUGAAGGUGGUUCGCCACUGGAAGAAGUAUUCAAAAGUAAAUGAACCGAAUGCUUUAGAGGAAGGAGAAGUCGUAACA
rnacentral:rRNA from 1 species